GCGGUGGAUGAGUGGUAGAGCAUCUGCUUUGCGUGUGGAAGGUCCCAGGUUCAACCCCCGACAUCUCCA
rnacentral:tRNA from 1 species